CCUACGGGUGGCAGCAGUGGGGAAUAUUGGACAAUGGGCGAAAGCCUGAUCCAGCCAUGCCGCGUGUGUGAAGAAGGCCUUCGGGUUGUAAAGCACUUUCAGUGGGGAAGAAAGCCUUGGGGCUAAUACCCUCGAGGAAGGACAUCACCCACAGAAGAAGCACCGGCUAACUCCGUGCCAGCAGCCGCGGUAAUACGGAGGGUGCGAGCGUUAAUCGGAAUUACUGGGCGUAAAGCGCGCGUAGGCGGUCUGAUAAGCCGGUUGUGAAAGCCCCGGGCUCAACCUGGGAACGGCAUCCCGAACUGUCAGGCUAGAGUGCAGGAGAGGAAGGUAGAAUUCCCGGUGUAGCGGUGAAAUGCGUAGAGAUCGGGAGGAAUACCAGUGGCGAAGGCGGCCUUCUGGACUGACACUGACGCUGAGGUGCGAAAGCGUGGGUAGCAAACAGGAUUAGAUACCCCUGUAGUC
rnacentral:rRNA from 1 species